rnacentral:rRNA from 1 species
GGAACAACGCAGGGAAACUUGCGCUAAUACCGAAUGUGCCCUUACGGGGAAAGAUUUAUCGCCAAAGGAUUAGCCCGCGUCCGAUUAGCUAGUUGGUGAGGUAACGGCUCACCAAGGCUCCGAUCGGUAGCUGUUCUGAGAGGAAGAUCAGCCACACUGGGACUGAGACACGGCCCAGACUCCUACGGGAGGCAGCAGUUGGGAAUCUUGGACAAUGGGGGAAACCCUGAUCCAGCCAUGCCGCGUGAGUGAUGAAGGCCUUCGGGUUGUAAAACUCUUUCGACGGGGACGAUAAUGACGGUACCCGUAGAAGAAGCUCCGGCUAACUUCGUGCCAGCAGCCGCGGUAAUACGAAGGGGGCUAGCGUUGUUCGGAAUUACUGGGCGUAAAGCGCGCGCAGGCGGUCUUCCAAGUCAGUGGUGAAAGCCCGGAGCUCAACUCCGGAAUUGCCAUUGAAACUGUUAGACUUGAGGAUGAGAGAGGUGAGUGGAAUUCCCAGUGUAGAGGUGAAAUUCGUAGAUAUUGGGAAGAACACCGGUGGCGAAGGCGGCU